rnacentral:rRNA from 1 species
AAUGGGCGGAAGCCUGAACCAGCCAAGUAGCGUGCAGGAUGACGGCCCUACGGGUUGUAAACUGCUUUUAUGCGGGGAUAAAGUGAGGGACGUGUCCCUUUUUGCAGGUACCGCAUGAAUAAGGACCGGCUAAUUCCGUGCCAGCAGCCGCGGUAAUACGGAAGGUCCGGGCGUUAUCCGGAUUUAUUGGGCUUAAAGGGAGCGUAGGCCGGGGAUUAAGUGUGUUGUGAAAUGUAGGCGCCCAACGUCUGACUUGCAGCGCAUACUGGUUCCCUUGAGUACGCGCAACGCCGGCGGAAUUCGUCGUGUAGCGGUGAAAUGCUUAGAUAUGACGAAGAACCCCGAUUGCGAAGGCAGCCGGCGGGAGCGCAACUGACGCUGAAGCUCGAAGGUGCGGGUAUCGAACAGGAUUAGAUACCCUGGUAGUCCGCACGGUAAACGAUGGAUGCCCGCUGUCGGCGCCUUGCGCCGGCGGCCAAGCGAAAGCGUUAAGCAUCCCACCUGGGGAGUACGCCGGCAACGGUGAAACUCAAAGGAAUUGACGGGGGCCCGCACAAGCGGAGGAACAUGUGGUUUAAUUCGAUGAUACGCGAGGAACCUUACCCGGGCCUUGAA